GAUGAACGCUGGCGGCGUGCCUAAUACAUGCAAGUCGAGCGAACAGACGAGGAGCUUGCUCCUCUGACGUUAGCGGCGGACGGGUGAGUAACACGUGGAUAACCUACCUAUAAGACUGGGAUAACUUCGGGAAACCGGAGCUAAUACCGGAUAAUAUAUUGAACCGCAUGGUUCAAUAGUGAAAGACGGUUUUGCUGUCACUUAUAGAUGGAUCCGCGCCGCAUUAGCUAGUUGGUAAGGUAACAGCUUACCAAGGCAACGAUGCGUAGCCGACCUGAGAGGGUGAUCGGCCACACUGGAACUGAGACACGGUCCAGACUCCUACGGGAGGCAGAAGUAGGGAAUCUUCCGCAAUGGGCGAAAGCCUGACGGAGCAACGCCGCGUGAGUGAUGAAGGUCUUCGGAUCGUAAAACUCUGUUAUUAGGGAAGAACAAAUGUGUAAGUAACUAUGCACGUCUUGACGGUACCUAAUCAGAAAGCCACGGCUAGCUACGUG
rnacentral:rRNA from 1 species